AAAUAUGGUCAAGCUUUGGGAAUUCUUUGACAGAAGUACUAUAACCAACCAAAAUAAAAGGUAAGAAUUCAUUAUCUUGCUUACUACACAACUAAGUAAUUAGCUUAGGUUCAACUAAGUAAUUAUGAAACAUGUUCACUGUUAUAUUCCAUAGGAAGCUGUUAGGUUCAAUAUACGGCUUACACCUCCUCUUAUACUUCUUGAACCUUUCUUUAGAGCAAUAAAAUGUUAGUUUACGUUUCUACUUACUGAGCU
rnacentral:lncRNA from 1 species